rnacentral:rRNA from 1 species
GAUGAACGCUAGCUACAGGCUUAACACAUGCAAGUCGAGGGACCGGCGCACGGGUGAGUAACACGUAUACAACCUUCCCUUUACUCUGGGAUAGCCUUUCGACAGAAAGAUUAAUACCCGAUAUAAAGGAUGGGGAUGCGUUCCAUUAGGUUGUUGGUGAGGUAACGGCUCACCAAGCCUUCGAUGGAUAGGGUUUCUGAGAGGAAGGUCCCCAAAAUUGGAACUGGGCAACGGUCCAAACUCGUACGGGAGGCAGCAAUGAGGAAUAUUGGUCAAAGGGCGCUAGCCUGAACCAGCCAAGUAGCGUGAAGGAUGAAGGCUUAUGGGGCGUUAACUUCUUUUAUAUAAGAAUAUGUAUUAUAUGAAUAAGGGUCGGCUAACUCCGUGCCAGCAGCCGCGGUAAUUC